CGCGGGGUGGAGCAGUUCGGUAGCUCGUCGGGCUCAUAACCCGAAGGUCGCAGGUUCAAAUCCUGCCCCAGCAA
rnacentral:tRNA from 1 species